GACUCCUCCCAUUACUCCUUCGUAUUCUCUCCCGCGACGCCUCCCCUUCCCUUUGAGCUCCUCGCGGCGGCAAUGGCGAGGAAGGAUUGAUCGCGGCGGCCGGCGACGAUAAUCGGAGACAAACUCGAGCAGGUUUAAUUUUGCAAUCAUGGACCCAGCGGAGAUGUUGUCAGUGCGCUUUCACUUCGGGGGGGAGUUCAUGUACAUUGGUCCAGAGCUGGAUUAUAUUGGGGGCGAUCAUGCUAUGUUAGAGAUAGAGAUUGACAAGGUCUCUUUGCCAGAGCUCAGAGGUCAUCUAGCUGAUCAUAUGGAUGUUGUUGAAGAACUGAAGCUCUAUUUCCUGAUACCCGGUUCAGAGUUAAAGGAUAGCUUGCUAUUCUUGUAUGAUGAUACUAGAACAAUGAUGAUGGCUAAGCACAUUACUGAUGGGGGAGUUGCUGAAGUUUUUGUGGAUUCCAGUGGUGCAAAUGAGGAAGAUAAUCCUAGUGGCAGUGACUAUGAAGAAGAAAUUGGCGAUGAGCAGAGUGAUGAGGAUAGUGAGGAAGAAAGAGGGUCUUCCUAAUAAUGGUAUACUUACUGCAGGAGAUGAUCAUCAGGGUGAAGUGUUCAUAACUAAUGAGAAAGGUGUAGUCACUCAAAUUAGUCCCAAGAAGGCAGCAGCAAAAGUGUUACCUGUGCGAACUGAACUGACACAACCUAUAUUCAUGCCCCAGUAUGCCUACUUCCUCACAGGUUGUGAAUCCAACACCAAUGAACAUAAAUGAAGGUGCAGAAGCUGUUGAAGAUAGUUCAGAUAAAUCUGAUUCAGAAGACAGUGAUUAUGUGGCUUACAGUGAUGACAGUGGAGAGGAAGAAGAAGAGCUUAGAAGACAUGCUAGGUAGUUCAAGAAGAGAAUGAUGGAUUCACAGAAAUGGAUUGAGACAGAACCAAAUGGUGCAGUCCCAAUUGAUUUGGUUGCAAAUGUGGAGGAAGUGGUAGAACACAUGGAGUUUGACUCUUCAGAUGAGGACUACUCUUAUGAUGAAGAUGAAGAUGGGCAAACAGUAAGGAGGAAGAGCAGAUACAUUAGGUAUAACCCAGAGACACCAAUUCCCCAUUUCAGUUUGGGGAUGGCGUUUACAAACAAGAAGUAGAUGUGCAAGGCAGUUAGGACAUAUGGCCUAGUGACAAAAAGAGCAUCAUUUUCAUGAAGUCAGAGGAAAAUAGAGUGAGAGCUAGGUGUGGAUGGCCUGGCUGUCCAUGGUUGAUCUAUGCAGCAAAGACCAGCAGGUAUUCAAGGUUUCAGAUAAUAACAUAUGAACCUGGACAUCAUUGUGCACAAAACAGAGAUAAUAAGCUGGUUACUGCUAAAGUAGUAGCACAAAGGUAUGAGAACUUCAUAUUGGCCAACCCAAUGUGGAAGAUUGAGAGUAUGAAAUCCACUGUACUCAAGGACAUGUUUGCUAAUGUGUCAGCAUCAAAGUGCAAGAAAGCAAAGAAAUAUGUGUUGGACAAAUUCUUGACAGGGAUGAAAGAAGAAUAUACCAAGGUUUUUGACUACCAGUUGGAAAUCUUUAGGAGCAACCCUGGGAGUACUGUGGCUGUUUGUUUGGAUCCAGAAAUAAGGGAUGCACACAUAUUCUAGAAAAUUUACAUCUGCUUAAAUGCACUGAAGAUGGGGUUUAAAGCUGGUUGCAGAAAAGUAAUUGGGCUUGAUGGUUGUUUUUUCAAAGGAGCAUGUCAAGGUGAGCUAUUGGCUGCAAUUGGAAGGGAUGCCAAUAAUCAAAUGUAUCCAGUUGCUUGGGCUGUAGUUGAGCAAGAAACAAGGGAGAAUUGGGAAUGGUUUCUUGAGUUCUUGAUGAAGGACUUGGAGAUUAAUGAUGAUGGAGCUGGUUGGGUCUUCAUUUCUGACCAACAGAAGUCAAGGCCAUGAAAUCAACCUUAUAUAAAGCUGAGCAUAGAAUGUGUGCAAGGCACAUAUAUGCCAAUUGGAGAAAGAAACACAGAGAUCAUGAAUUGCAGAAGAAGUUCUGGGCCAUUGCCAAGGCAGCAAACAGAGAAGAUUUCAUGUACAGGAAGGCAAAACUUGCAUUAGAAACUCCUGAAGGUGCAAAGGAUCUUAUAUGGCUGGAGCCAAAGCAUUGGGCCAGAGCUUUUUUUCAAGUUGGAUCAAAGUGUGACAGUGUUGACAACAACAUUUGUGAGUCCUUCAACAAUCUAAUCAUUGAAUCAAGGUUCUAUCCAAUCAUUUCAAUGCUUGAGAAGAUAAGAUGCCAGAUGAUGAAGAGAAUUCAAGAAAACAGGACAAAUAGUGAAAAGUGGCAUGGCACCAUUUGACCAAACAUCUUUAAGAAGCUCAAGGUGAGCAUUAAGCUGACAGCAAACUGUGAUGUGCUAUGGAAUGGCAAAGAUGGCUUUGAGGUGAAACAUACUAGUGGGAGAGGUAGGAGAUACACAGUCAACUUGGAAAAGAGGACAUGCUCAUGUGGAUACUUCCAGCUUGCAGGCCUUCCAUGCUGUCAUGCUAUUAGUGUCAUAUACAUGUGUGGCAGAAAAGUAGAUGAUUUCAUUGACAACUGCUAUUCCAUUCAGGAAUUCCACAAAAUAUAUGAGCAUUGUUAACCUAUUGAAGGGCAGGACAAAUGGCCUGUCUCAAUGAAUCCUAGGCCACAAGCACCAGGCUAUGUGAGGAUGCUAGGAAUGCCUAGAAAAAAAUGAUAGGAGGAGAGAAGAGGGUGAAGCACCCAAGGGGAAAAAGAUGAGCAAGUAUGGAAUCAGGACGAAGUGUUCAGUUUGCCAUAAAACUGGACACAACAAGAAAUCUUGCCCCAAAAAUCCUGAAAAAGGUGUUAAGAAGAAUGCUUUCCUUGUUAAGAGAGGGAGAAAAAUUAAGACAGCUGAGCUCACAUUGAUGGUCAGCUCAGUGCAAGCCAACUUGUUCAACCGGAGAAAACUACACAAGCCAAGGGAAAACAAAAGAGUGUUGCAGAGGCAGGGCCAAGCCAACCUGUCCAGAGUAGUAAGGGAAAAAAAAGAGUGUUCAAACUGCAACAUCAGUUUCAAAGAAGAGACAGAACUUGAAGUUGGCUCCUGAGCAAGCCAACAAGAGGCCAAAAAAGUGAUACUUUUGUGAAUCUUCAAGUACAACUGCUUAUAUUUUGUAAGAGUACUCAAUUUGUAAUCUGCAGUGCCAUCAUUUGUAUGGUUAAACCUUAUCUUUCGUGGUGAAACCUGUUCGAAGACAUCUUAUAACUCUUUUGUCAGCCAUGCAACUAUAUGAAAUGCUGUGAAACCUGAAGUUGUA